UACAGAGGUCCCGAGCGUUGUUCGGAUUCAUUGGGCGUAAAGGGUGCGUAGGCGGCGGGGCAAGUCUGAUGUGAAAUCCCGGGGCUCAACCCCGGAACUGCAUUGGAUACUGCUCUGCUUGAGUACUGGAGAGGGAACUGGAAUUUACGGUGUAGCAGUGAAAUGCGUAGAGAUCGUAAGGAAGGCCAGUGGCGAAGGCGAGUUCCUGGACAGUUACUGACGCUGAGGCACGAAGGCCAGGGGAGCAAACGGG
rnacentral:rRNA from 1 species